rnacentral:rRNA from 1 species
GACGAACGCUGGCGGCGUGCUUAACACAUGCAAGUCGAACGGUGAAGCGCCUUCCUUUUGGGUUGGUGUGGAUGAGUGGCGAACGGGUGAGUAACACGUGAGUAACCUGCCCCCUUCUUCUGGAUAACCGCAUGAAAGUGUGGCUAAGACGGGAUAUUCUGGGGCUGUCGCAUGAUGGGUCUGGGAAAGAUAUUGUUUCGGUGGGGGAUGGUCUCGCGGCCUGUGGGGUAGUUGGUGGGGUGAUGGGCUUCGAAGGGUGGGGCGGGUGGGCGGGCUGAGUGGGACUGAGACAAGGCCGAGACUCAGACGGGAGGCAGAAGGGUGGAGGAGUGAACAAUGGGAGAAAGCCUGAUGCAGCGACGACGCGUGAGCGAUGGAGGCCUGCGGGUUGUGAACCUCUUCCGCCAGUGAAGCAGGUCUGCCUGGUUUGUGGGUGGGUUGACGGUAGCUGGAUAAGAAGCGCCGGCUAACUACGUG